AGCGAACGCUGGCGGCAGGCCUAACACAUGCAAGUCGAACGAACUCUUCGGUGUUAGUGGCGGACGGGUGAGUAACACGUGGGAACGUGCCUUUAGGUUCGGAAUAACUCAGGGAAACUUGAGCUAAUACCGGAUGUGCCCUUCGGGGGAAAGAUUUAUCGCCUUUAGAGCGGCCCGCGUCUGAUUAGCUAGUUGGUGAGGUAAAGGCUCACCAAGGCGACGAUCAGUAGCUGGUCUGAGAGGAUGAUCAGCCACAUUGGGACUGAGACACGGCCCAAACUCCUACGGGAGGCAGCAGUGGGGAAUCUUGCGCAAUGGGCGAAAGCCUGACGCAGCCAUGCCGCGUGAAUGAUGAAGGUCUUAGGAUUGUAAAAUUCUUUCACCGGGGACGAUAAUGACGGUACCCGGAGAAGAAGCCCCGGCUAACUUCGUG
rnacentral:rRNA from 1 species